rnacentral:tRNA from 1 species
GGUAUUAUGGCCGAAGUCCAGGCGGCGAGCUGUAGACUCGCAGAAGGGCCCAAGAUGGGAGGGCCCUGCUACCA